rnacentral:rRNA from 1 species
UACAGAGGUCCCAAGCGUUGUUCGGAUUCACUGGGCGUAAAGGGUGCGCAGGUGGGUUUGCAAGUUCGAUGUGAAAGCCCCGGGCUUAACCCGGGAAUGGCAUUGGAUACUGCAGAUCUGGAGGAUCGGAGGGGGGACUGGAAUUCUUGGUGUAGCAGUGAAAUGCGUAGAUAUCAAGAGGAACACCAGUGGCGAAGGCGAGUCACUGGACGAUACCUGACACUGAGGCACGAAAGCUAGGGGAGCAAACAGG